UGUUAUUAUUUUAUUUUUCCUUUUCUUUAUCUUCAUUUAAUUCUAAUCAUAUUCUUUUCGUUCUCUCUUUCUUUUGCAGCCAUCACUCUCUCUUCACUCUCAUCUCAAUUUCACCUCCAUGGUAAGACCUAAGCUAGUUGCCGCCACCGACAAUAUCAUUGUCCAAUCUCCCUCGACAGACCCAGCCCCUCAUACCCCUAGAACUUUAUGUGAUGGACACCAUUGCUCCUCUUCUCGUGCCUCCCAUGCUGCAUACAACUACCUCUUACCACAACCGCCAUUCUCUAUUGUAAUCAAUAGCCCCACAAAUCCAUUGCGCGAGCAUCCUUCAUUGCCAACAUUCCAGGGGAGUCCAUUGCUCUUUAUCCCUCUAUUUCUAUUAUUUCUUUUAUCUUUUGCACAUUGAGGACAAUGUGUAAAUGAAGUCCGAGGGAUGUAUAAUCUUGCAAUUUUUGGGUGUUUUUAAAAUUUCUUUUGGUUUGUUUUAAAUAUUUGAUGGUGCAAUGUCUAAUUUCUCUUAUUAGGCCCAUUUUUAUUUUAAAAGUCUUGUGGCUCCUAUUCAUGAGGGAUUGAGUUGCUGAAGUUUUGAGAGGUAAAGAACAGGUCCAAAAGGAGGAAGAUAAUUCAAGGGCUAAGGGUAAGGAGGUGUAAAGGAAGUGUAUGCAAAGUUUUUGAAGAAAUUUGUGUAAAAGGUUUGGUAUUUAUGUAUUUUCCUUUUUUCCUAUUUUUCUUUGAAUAUGCAUGGUUCGAGUUUGAGUUUGAAUAUUAAAAAUGUACUCCUGAAUAUGUAAAAUAUUACCUGAAUGAUGAAAUGACUUUUGGAAGGUCUAAAACAAAGAAACUAAGCAUGGAGGUGAAUACUUAAACAUGGCA